rnacentral:rRNA from 1 species
GACGAGGGGGCCAGCGUUGCUCGGAAUUACUGGGUGUAAAGGGUUCGGUAGGCGGUGUGGCAAGGUCGGGAGUGAAAUCUCUGGGCUCAACCCAGAGUCUGCUUCCGAAACUGCUGUGCUUGAGUGUGGGAGAGGCGCGUGGAAUUGCAGGUGUAGCGGUGAAAUGCGUAGAUAUCUGCAGGAACACCCGUGGCGAAGCGGCUCUCUGGGACGGUACUGACGCUGAGACGGCGAAAGCGUGGGGGAGCGAACAGGG